GUGUGGGGGAGGAUGGGCAGGCAGGCAGGUGGGCUAGGGCACGUGGGGCCUUGGAGCCAUGGCAAGGGCUUCUGUGCCUGGCAGAGCGGGGCUCAGAGCUGAAAAGGACCUGGCCCUGGUCGUGGGCUCAGAGUCUAACAGGGAAGCAGCUUAAGCAGAGAGUGGAAGUCGGGAGACCUUCGGGGAGUGUGGGGUGGGUCCCACAUGGGAAGACUCCUGAACGCGAGUCCUGAGCGCAGAGCACAGCUUAGACUGGCUAGCGGGAUGGGGUCAGAGUGUGUCAGUGUCGCAAACGAGUAGCUGCCUGUGUGAGCGUGUGGAGGCAGGAGAUUGGGGACUUGGCUGGGACAAAGAGAGGAGCCAGUGUGACGGUCGUUGAGUGGAGCCGAGGGAAGGUGCCGGGGAGGAGGUCUGUCCUGAUGGCAGCGUGAGGUGCAGGUGGGAGCAGAGAAGCUGGCGUCCCCUCGAGGGACAGGGCUGGGAGCUGGGAGCAGGGCUGAGGCGGUUGGCACUGACCCUCCUUAUUUGGACCCAGCUCCGAGGAGAGGCCUGUGGAUGAGUCCUACCCCUCACCUCUCUCUUCUCUUCUCCCCCUUUGCACUUGAGACUGGCGCUGACAAACAGCAGCUCACGGCGCGCUGGAAGACGCCAGGGUUUCAGGCUGGCUCCCGGGAGGUGCUGGUGGCCAGCAGGCUCUGUGCUGAGAAGUGCUGGGAGGCUCGGAGGAAAGCGUGCUGUCGUGGAUCUGUGACGCGGCCUCUGGCACGGCGGCGGAGAGGGAAGAGGCAGGAUUCGCCCCCUCUGGAGUGGCCUCUGGGUUCUCUGAGCUCUGACAGAGCUGCUUCCUCUUGCCUUCCCCUUGAGGCCAGCAUGCGUCAGUCUGUGUCUGCGAUGCCAGUGUCCGGGAGUGGAUGGGGAGGCUCUCUGGCUCCCCCUCACUGCACACAUAUGGGGCAGGGACUGGUGCCUGUGGAGGGGGCCUGGGGCCUGGCAGCACCUUAUUUCAGCCUGCCUCCCUGCUCUGCCCAGGUGGGGUACCUGUAGAAAGAGAACGCUGGCCUGUACCUGCCUGGACACCUUGCCCGGCCUGUGGCAGGUGAUCAGUGGUGCUGGGUGGCAGGAAGCCAAGGCAAUUGCUGGGCUCCUGGUGAGUUUCAGGCCAGGCCGUUUUCAGAGAACCUCUGUCUUUGCUGGUUUUGUCAUGGGUGGGGCCCCUCUCUGUGGGGCUGCGGUAGGUACAACAUCCACGAGGAGGGGACAGGCAUAAGCUCCGGGUGUCACAUCAUCUUUGACUUUGGAGCCAUAGAGCGUCUGGUCUGGGAGCCCCUGGAGGUCAUCUUGUCUUCCUUGCUGGGGUGUCCCUGGGCAGACACACAGACAGGGUCCAAAAGGGGUGGGGUCCAUCACGCUGGGGCUCCUGCCCUGGCCUGAGCAUGCCUGGCCAUCCAGGCCCCUGCCCCUUGGUGCUGCAGGGCCUGGGAGAGGCUCCUGGGCACCGUGGUGACCUUGACGCCCGACUUGCCCCUCGAGUUCCUCCUGCCGGUAGCCUGGCAGCUGCCAGUGCCGCACGGUUUGUGAAAUGUCAGUGCUUUAAUAUCAAUUCUGGAGGUUUUAUUGCCUUCCCCCCCAUUUUCCGAUGGGAUUUUGAUCCAAUCAAGACCGAUCCACAGCGACGGCAGAUUUGUGUUCCCGUCCGAAGUUGACAAAGGUCACCCUGCCUGGGGAGCGGGGCCGCUGUGGCUGCGCAGUGCGUGACUGCUCUCCCGCCCUGGCUCCAGGUCGGCUGCGCUUUCCCCCAGGAGAGCGGUGUCCGUGGGUGCGGCCGGCGCUGCUCCUCCUGGGCCUGUCACUGGGCCAAGGGCCCUGGGGCUUUAGGCUCGGGCAGUCGCCAGCCACAGAAUACCCUGGUUUUGUCUGCAAAACGUCUUUGAUGCUUCAGACUCAAAUUAAUUUUUCAUAGUAAUGUUUCAAAAUGUCAUUUUUCCCUUUAAAAAAAAAGCCGUUGAAUGAGACUCUCUGUUUGGGAGGAGGCCAGAGGUCAGGAGAGUCACAUUGGGCCACGCCAGCCUGUGCCCUAUCCUCCUGUCUCUGGCUCAGCUCCCUGCCUUCCCCAGAGGGUGGAACACCCUCUAGGAGGAACUCGAAAGGGGCAGGAACACCUGCUUGUCCAGGUGGGGGCUGGCAAGGGUGGAGAGUGGGUGCAAGAAUUUUGGUCAAGUUUUGAUCUUGCCCCAUGGCACUUUACAGACAUGAUAUUCCGAGACCCAACCCAGCUUGGCAAGCCUUUAGAGAGUGCCUGCGGUGUGUGUGGCACCCGAGAGGGUGGAGGGGAGAGGCAAGCCUAGACAGAGAGGACAGGUACUGGUGGGCCGGGUGUGUGGA
ensembl:lncRNA